rnacentral:rRNA from 1 species
GACAGAGGGUGCAAGCGUUGUUCGGAAUUACUGGGCGUAAAGGGCGCGUAGGCGGUCCGCUAAGUUCGGCGUGAAAUCCCCUGGCUCAACUGGGGAACGGCGCUGGAUACUGGUGGACUCGAGUACCGGAGAGGAGAGUGGAAUUCCUGGUGUAGCGGUGAGAUGCGUAGAUAUCAGGAGGAACACCGGUGGCGAAGGCGGCUCUCUGGACGGAUACUGACGCUGAGGCGCGAAAGCGUGGGGAUCAAACAGG